UCUUGCAGACACCCGAAUGCUUCGUGUGUGUGUGUAUGUUAAUUUCUUUUUCUCAAUUUUAAAAGCAGCACAUAAAGUCACAGACACAUUGCAUCAAACGGAAGCUGACAUUUAUUGCGGGCUUUGAAAAUGGUUUUGGUUCAUAUCUCUAACGUUCCGCGUGGUCAUUUGAACCUUGACACGUGCAGGUAUGAGCUGAGACUCAUACAUCUUCACUGUGUGUGUGAAUACACAGUGACAGGCUGACAAACUUAAAUGUGUGCGUGUGUGUAAACAGAAGUGAUAUUUAUCCCCACUCCUGCCUUUGUGGCUUCGUCAUUUUUAAUAAGACCCUUUCUAUGCAACGAUUAAUCCAAUUAAGAUCCAGAUAAUUAAGGAACAUGCGUUGAGGCUGUUAGCUCCCUCACAAUGAGCUGACUAAAGUGCCCUGCGUUCUCCACUGGAAGCGUGCCAACGGUCCUGGUUGGCUGGCUGUGGCAUGCCUCGCGGUACCAGCCAGUGCUGCGGGACUCGAGUCUGUGACGACGCUUCUGAUGUGACGCUAGAAGAGCCCAACAGGCACAUUUAUGAAAAACAAAAACAACAGCUUUUUGUUCUUUUCAGCUAAGUCGUUCUGCAACAGGAUGAGGCAGAACAGUCCCAGGCCAGACGAUCAGACAAGCCUGUGGCUCACUCAAGUUGGACGGGUGAAGAGGGACGUCAUUGAUACAGUUCCAUGCAACCGCAGGCUAGUCAAAGUUCGACCCGCCAAUCAAGUGAGACACUGCAAGCCUACCAAGCGGUACCCUUCAGUUUGGUAGUGAGAGAAAGUAAAGGAUGGGGGUCCGGUCCAACUGCAGCGAUGUCACCUCGGAUUGAAAAACUGGCAUUUAAACAUCCAGGAACUUCACCCAACCAUCUUCCAGAUCUUCGACUAGCUCCUGCCAGAGAUGAAGCUGGGUUUAUUAGUCACGUGCGGUUCUCCUCCAAGGGACUCAGGUGACAUGCACACCGCACAGGAUUUGGCGAGUUCAGCUCCGAAUUCCCGAGCUGCUUCAUCGUGGUGUCAGCCAAGCGGGCCAUUGUUUCUAAUCAACUUAGCCUCGACUGUGGAAGUUGCGGCUGGAAGCAGCUUAGGGCGGAGGCCUUCUCAUACAAUAGCCUCUUUGAUGCCGCAGAGAAUCGCUGAUUGCCAAGAGCUUUGCGCAUUUCUGCUCGGGGUUCGGUCUCGGAAACGAGGAAUGCAGAUUGCGAGAGGACGGACCAGUCGGAGUUCCAAGAAUACUUUGAGCAGGAGGCGGGUUUGGCCGAGGAACAGCAGUUGUGUUCUUAUCGCCAGAAAACACUGUGAUAGCUCAGCAUGUCUCCGCACUGCUCAAGUCGUGCUCUUAAUACUGUUUAUCAACCACACUGGCCCAUCCAACAUGCAGCUUCGACUCCCGUUUGUAAUGUUUUCAUUUGAAUCUUUUGGUCAUUCUUUUUCACGUUUGUUUGUUUGUUCUUGUUUCCCAUUGAUGAACAACAAACAGAUAGUAGAUUGUCACACUACAGGAAAAAUAAAAACUCUGGACCUCCGAAUGCAAAUGUGAGGGGAGCUAUUGUUGUAUCAUUUAAUUCU